GGAAGAUCCCUUUGGAUCUGGCCGCCCAAACGCCUCUCUGCCUCCCUACCACGCAUGCACCCAUACCUACGUGUUUUCUUCCAGGAGUGGCAUGCUUUUGCCAGGAUGACAUAUCAUGCCAGAUGUGGAUCUAAACUGCACUUGUGUACGUGCUAUGUCUGCAUAAACUCUUUCUGCAAUUCAAAUGUUGACACCCAAAAUUACAAGCCAGAAUGCUUCUGAACUCCACCAUUACGGCACUGCACUUCUCUGCAGCCUGAGUCCAUUUUCUGUGAAAAACACCACAGAACAUCUGUUCAUAAACAGUCCUUCUGUGAAAAUACUGACACAGGUCCUGAGUGUCUCCGCGCUCAAUUCCCCAGCCAUGCGCAGAUGGCAGGAUGUAUUUGUACAGCUGAAGCUUGGGCCGCAGCAGCCAGCCAGAU